rnacentral:rRNA from 1 species
UACACUCCUACGGGAGGCAGCAGUGAGGAAUAUUGGACAAUGGGUGGAAGCCUGAUCCAGCCAUCCCGCGUGCAGGAAGACGGCCCUAUGGGUUGUAAACUGCUUUUAUCUGGGGAUAAACCUACUUACGUGUAAGUAGCUGAAGGUACCAGAAGAAUAAGCACCGGCUAACUCCGUGCCAGCAGCCGCGGUAAUACGGAGGGUGCAAGCGUUAUCCGGAUUUAUUGGGUUUAAAGGGUCCGUAGGCGGACUGAUAAGUCAGUGGUGAAAUCCGACAGCUUAACUGUCGAACUGCCAUUGAUACUGUUAGUCUUGAGUAAGGUUGAAGUGGCUGGAAUAAGUAGUGUAGCGGUGAAAUGCAUAGAUAUUACUUAGAACACCAAUUGCGAAGGCAGGUCACUAAGUCUUAACUGACGCUGAUGGACGAAAGCGUGGGGAGCGAACAGGAUUAGAAACCCUUGUAGUCCCA